AGAGUUUGAUCCUGGCUCAGAGUUAACGCUGGCAUCGUGCAUAACACAUGCAAGUCGAACGGGACUUUAAUUUGUAGCAAUACAGAUUGAAGUUUAGUGGCAGACGGGUGAGUAAUGUAUAAGUAACCAACCUUUAAGUGGGGAAUAACAAUCCGAAAGGGUUGCUAAUACCCCAUAAUAUCUAAUAGCGGCAUCGUUAAUAGAUUAAAGAUUUAUCGCUUGAAGACGGACUUAUAUUCUAUCAGCUAGUUGGCAGUGUAACGGACUACCAAGGCGACGACGGAUAGCCGGCCUGAAAGGGCGACCGGCCACAAGGGCACUGAGACACGGGCCCUACUCCUACGGGAGGCAGCAGUGGGGAAUUUUGGACAAUGGGCGAAAGCCUGAUCCAGCAACGAUGCGUGGAGGAUGAAGGUUCUCGGAUUGUAAACUCCUUUUGAGAGGGAAGAAAAAAAUGACGGUACCUCUCGAAUAAGCCACGGCUAACUACGUGCCAGCAGCCGCGGUAAGACGUAGGUGGCAAGCGUUACUCGGAAUUACUAGGCGUAAAGCGCGCGUAGGCGGAAUGUUAAGUCUGUUGUGUAAUCUCUGGGCUCAACCCAGAAACUGCAACAGAAACUGGCGUUCUUGAGUGAGGCAGAGGAAAUCGGAAUUCCUAGUGUAGCAGUGAAAUGCGUAGAUAUUAGGAGGAACACCGGUGGCGAAGGCGGAUUUCUGGGCCUUUACUGACGCUAAAGUGCGAAAGCUAGGGGAGCAAACGGGAUUAGAUACCCCGGUAGUCCUAGCCGUAAACGAUGAUAACUAGGUGUGGGAGGUAUCGACCCCUUCCGUGCCGCCGCUAACGCAUUAAGUUAUCCGCCUGGGGAGUACGGCCGCAAGGUUAAAACUCAAAGGAAUUGACGGGGACCCGCACAAGAGGUGGAGUAUGUGGUUUAAUUCGACGCUACGCGAAAAACCUUACCUGGGCUCGAACGACUGGUGGUAAGACUUAUGAAAGUAGGUCUGACCCGCAAGGGAGCCAGCCGAGGUGCUGCAUGGUUGUCGUCAGCUCGUGUCGUGAGAUGUUGGGUUAAGUCCCGCAACG
rnacentral:rRNA from 1 species